UCUCCAAAAGGCAGAUAUUCUCCUUCAGAAUCAGAAUAGACGUACCGUGACUAGACGAUCGCUCAUAUUCUCCAAAAGGCAGAUAUUCUCCUUCAGAAUCAGACUAGCUAUGUUGGGCAGAGGG